rnacentral:rRNA from 1 species
AACGCGAAGAACCUUACCUGGGCUUGACAUGUAGACGACGAUGUUAGAAAUAGCAUUUUCCCGCAAGGGACGGCUACACAGGUGCUGCAUGGCUGUCGUCAGCUCGUGCCGUGAGGUGUUGGGUUAAGUCCCGCAACGAGCGCAACCCUUGUCAUUAGUUGCCAGCAAGUAAAGUUGGGCACUCUAAUGAGACUGCCUAGGUUAACUAGGAGGAAGGUGAGGAUGACGUCAAGUCCGCAUGGCCUUUAUGCCCAGGGCUACACACGUGCUACAAUGGCCGGUACAGAAGGCAGCGAAACCGCGAGGUGAAGCAAAUCCCCAAAGCCGGCCCCAGUUCAGAUUGUAGUCUGCAACUCGACUACAUGAAGAUGGAAUUGCUAGUAAUGGCGAGUCAGCAACAUCGCCGUGAAUACGUUCCCGGGCCUUGUACACACCGCACUACUA